rnacentral:misc_RNA from 1 species
GAACGCACAUUGCGCCCAUUCGUAUUCUAGUGGGCAUGCCUGUUCGAGCGUCAUUUCAACCCUUAAGCCUAGCUUAGCGUUGGGAGACUGCACUAAACCGCAGCUCCUCAAAACCAGUGGCGGAGUUUGUUCGUACUCUGAGCGUAGUAAUUCAUUAUCUCGCUUCUGCAAGUACGGCUGACGACAGCCAUAAACCGCACCCUUCGGGGGCACUUUUUUAAUGGUUGACCUCGGAUCAGGUAGGAAUACCCGCUGAACUUAAG